rnacentral:misc_RNA from 1 species
AAGAAAUAAAACCACUGAACAAAAUUCAAGAAAAACCCUGCAACUGUUCUUCUCGAAAAAAAUUCAAAAUCGUCUGAAUUUGAUCCUUCAAAAACCUCGAUUUCUUGCUCAUUCCCGAAGAAAAACUGUUCCUCUGUAUAGAUAUGUCAAAUUCCCCAAUUCAAGAACCAUCAAUCGACGACUCUAACAACGCUGAAGAACCAGACAAAGAAAACCCAAAUUCAGAGCUUCAAUCGCAACCCCAAAUCUUAGAACCCCUUAAUCCUCAAAACCAAGAGAAUCCCAUCUCCAGUUUGCGAAAACAUGAGACCCCAGAUGUGAUUCUUGAAGAAAAAGACCUAGAAAAAGAAAACCCUCAAGUUGUUACGGCUGAUGUAAAUGCUGAUUUUGGUUUAACUGUGGAUCUACCAAUUGCAGAUACAGAGGUAAGUGUUACUGACCUUCGAAUGAUGUCGCCUAGUAAUACUAUCAAGCGUACUAAGCGGAAGAAGG